rnacentral:rRNA from 1 species
UGCGGGGGGAGCAAGCGUUGUUCGGAUUAACUGGGCGUAAAGGGCGCGUAGGCGGCCACCGCAAGUCAGUUGUGAAAUCCCCGGGCUCAACCUGGGAAUGGCGAUGGAUACUGGCGAGCUAGAGUGUGUCAGAGGAUGGUGGAAUUCCCGGUGUAGCGGUGAAAUGCGUAGAGAUCGGGAGGAACACCAAUAGCGAAGGCAGCUCGCUGGGACGUUACUGACGCUGAGGCGCGAAAGCGUGGGGAGCGAACAGG